rnacentral:siRNA from 1 species
UUAUUUCUUGGAUCCGCCACUGC